rnacentral:ncRNA from 2 species
UGCUCAUCCAGAGGGGUGGAGGGACCGGCCCUACGAAGCCCCGGCAACCAUCUCGGUACACGUUGCUCGUCAGGUGCGAGGCGGCCGGGACAGGUGCCAACUCCGGCCCGGGACCAAAGUGGUCCACGGGUAAAGAUGAGGG